AGCCCCGGGCAGGUCAUUUCUGACAAUGUGUGUCAUUUCUGUUGUGCACUACACUUUGUGUGUCUAUUGCAGGAAUUCAUGGUGGUCACUGUCCUUGUUGCAGCUGUGCAUAGUCGGAAAUGAAUUCACUGCGGUCACUGUCCAUGUUGCAGCUGUGAAUAGUCGGAAAGGAAUUCACUGUGGUCACCGUCCAUGUUGCAGUGGUGAAUACUGUAAAAGCCAUAUAUAAAACGAAGUGCUAACUCUAACGAGUUAACGAGGAGAAAUCUGUCGUUAAAAUAGAAAUCCUUAUACUGAAAUCGAUACAUAUAAUGUCCUAUUCAGCAUUGAGAAUGAGUGAGAAUCGUUACCUUUGGUACACGUAAACUAGUCAAUUUUGGGAAAUCAUUAUAUAUGCGCCUCGUUAGAAUAAUGGCUUUUACAGUAGUCGGAAAGGUGAUUGGUGAAUUUUUGACCAUUUGUGCGCACAUGUUUUUUUAAUGUCCUUUGUGUAAAUGGACGCAGCUGCAGUGUGGGCGCUGGAAUUGUGUUGAUUUUUGGUUUGCUAGCUGAUUUUGUGAGGUCUGCAUUUGCCACUAAGGUGGCCUGCGAAAGCGAAGGCUUGUGUGUUUCUGACCAUUCAAGUGAUGCUAAACUCGAAUCUCGGGAAUAUUAUUGUUAAUAGUAGGCCGCUUGUACUCGUAGGCAGUUCGCCAGAAAAUUAGACCUUGUUGACCCUGUGACCCCGUUCCAACUCCGCGUGCACGGGCGAAAUGCCCGAAACUUGGAGAUGGAUAAUCUUGAGCUUUCUGCGGCGCAUAAUGCGUUUGAUUUCUGUGGUGCACUACCCUUUGUGUGCCUAUUGCAGGAAUUCACGGUGGUCAUUGUCAGUGUUGCAGCUGUGAAUAGCCUGAAACAUGAGAAAUGGUGAACUUUUGGACCAUUUGUGCGCACCAGUUGGCCAAGCUGCAAUGUGGGUGCUGGAAUUGCUUUGACAUUAUUUUGGUUUGCUAGUACGCCGCUUGUACUCGUUGGCAGUGCCCUAGGAGAUUUGACCCAGCUGUUACUGGCUUGAGUUCCAAGUCCGGAAACACGGGCAAAAAGCCCCAAACUUGAAGAUGGUUAAUUUCAGCUUUCAGCAGCCCAGGCAAGUCGUUUAUGGCAAUGUGUGUCAUUCCUGUUGUUCACUUCUCUUUAGUUGGAAGGUUGAGAAAUUGUGAAUGUACUGUCGUGGACGUGCAAAUCCGGUCGCACGUCUAGCGGCCCCAGGGCGCUAGCCAUGCAGCCGAGGAUAAGCGGAAUGCUGAAUGUAUAUGCACUGCAGCGCGCUGGUCGCAUCGGAUCAACAUGACUGCACGCAGCGUUCUGUACGCGCUGAGGGCGGCGGUCCCGGUCAAUCGACUGGAUUUCUAUGUCCGCUACAGUACCUGUGUGUAAAUGGGCCCAGUUGCAAUGUGGGUGCUGGAAUUGCUUUGAUUUUUUGAUUUGCUGGUAGGGCCGGAAAGAAAGAAUUUGGUACAGCACUCACACUUUUCCCUUAACAUACCAACACUCAAAUACCCACCCACACACAUGUACCUCACCUGCAUUUCCCCAAUCUACACUUACUUCAACACUACUCGCUGCUCACGUAAUAGCGCAUCCAAUAGUGCUAGCUUUAGAUUAUCAGUGUUGGUUGUAUCAGUUUUACUUCGAAGUAGAUCUAAACUUUAUGGUACCAUAAUCAAUAUUUUUCCUUCGUCGUCCAACUCUCGGUGUGAUGAAGAUUUCGUUCAAAUCAUAUUGUCCUGUUGUUCUCAAGUAUGAGUGCGAACACUUUACUUUCAUCGAUAUGAAGAUUCUUGCCUGCCGACUUUUUGAUCAUUUUUUAGCUUAUCCUACCUCUGAACUUCCCACCUGAAAUGUUUGGUCAACCGCCCUCAGCUACCAUUAUUUUAUUUUAUUCCAAGCAAUACAUGGCUGGGGUAGCCAAUGACCACUUUGCGUGGCGAUUGCAGGGUUUUUAUAGCCAACCACGGCUAUCAUGCACAGAGUGCAAAAUAAUUGUGUACGGGUUCAUCACAUGAUGUGAAG